GGAGAUCACAUCUCGAGAGCCAGGCCUCCGGAAGAUCGCGUCCUACGUCUCUAUGGCCGACGACGACAUGGACCUGACGAGUCUCCUGGACCGGCCGCCCAGGCUGACGAUUGAGCGGCAGCGCUCGUUUAACGAGCGCUCUCUUAGCGAGCAGAGCUUGUUGAAUAUGCGGACGGUUGAUAGCUACGAGAGCUUGCAUUCGC
rnacentral:misc_RNA from 1 species